GUCAAAGUGGCAUAGUGGUUUGGGUGUUGGACUAUGAAUCUGGCGACCAGGGUUUGAUUCUCUGCUAGACC